rnacentral:rRNA from 1 species
UACGGAGGGGGCUAGCGUUGUUCGGAAUUACUGGGCGUAAAGCGCACGUAGGCGGCUUUGUAAGUUAGAGGUGAAAGCCCAGGGCUUAACCCCUGGAAUUGCCUUUAAGACUGCAUCGCUAGAAUCGUGGAGAGGUGAGUGGAAUUCCGAGUGUAGAGGUGAAAUUCGUAGAUAUUCGGAAGAACACCAGUGGCGAAGGCGACUCACUGGACACGGUAUUGACGCUGAGGUGCGAAAGCGUGGGGAGCAAACAGG